rnacentral:rRNA from 1 species
UUGGAGGGCAAGUCUGGUGCCAGCAGCCGCGGUAAUUCCAGCUCCAAUAGCGUAUAUUAAAGUUGUUGCAGUUAAAAAGCUCGUAGUUGAAUUUCGGGGUUAGUAGGUUGGUCAUGCCUCUGGUAUGUACUGGUCUCACUGAUUCCUCCUUCCUGAUGAGCUGUAAUGCCAUUAAUUUGGUGUUGCGGGGAAUCUGGACUGUUACUUUGAAGAAAUUAGAGUGUUUAAAGCAGGCUAACGCCUGAAUACAUUAGCAUGGAAUAAUGAAAUAGGACGGUCGAUCCUAUUUUGUUGGUUUCUAGGAUUGACGUAAUGAUUAAUAGGGAUAGUUGGGGGCAUUAGUAUUCAAUUGUCAGAGGUGAAAUUCUUGGAUUUAUUGAAGACUAACUACUGCGAAAGCAUUUGCCAAGGAUGUUUUCAUUAAUCAAGAACGAAAGUUAGGGGAUCGAAGACGAUCAGAUACCGUCGUAGUCUUAACCAUAAACUAUGCCGACUAGGGAUCGGAUGAUGUUAAUUUUUUAAUGACUCAUUCGGCGCCUUACGGGAAAC